rnacentral:rRNA from 1 species
UUAUGAAUAAGGACCGGCUAAUUCCGUGCCAGCAGCCGCGGUAAUACGGAAGGUCCGGGCGUUAUCCGGAUUUAUUGGGUUUAAAGGGAGCGUAGGCCGGAGAUUAAGCGUGUUGUGAAAUGUAGAUGCUCAACAUCUGCACUGCAGCGCGAACUGGUUUCCUUGAGUACGCACAAAGUGGGCGGAAUUCGUGGUGUAGCGGUGAAAUGCUUAGAUAUCACGAAGAACUCCGAUUGCGAAGGCAGCUCACUGGAGCGCAACUGACGCUGAAGCUCGAAAGUGCGGGUAUCGAACAGGAUUAGAUACCCUGGUAGUCCGCACGGUAAACGAUGGAUGCCCGCUGUUGGUCUGAAUAGGUCAGCGGCCAAGCGAAAGCAUUAAGCAUCCCACCUGGGGAGUACGCCGGCAACGGUGCAACUCAAAUGAAUUGACGGA